UGUGGGAAAAGUGUUUUACCAUAUGAGACUAUCAUUCACACACCCAAAUUCCAACAGGUUUCUUCAUCUUUGAUUGAAUCUCUUCUCUGAUUCUGAUAAUCAACUGUCGCCAUCUCCAAGUGUUGUUGCAAAUUCGAAGAUUAUUUAUAAUGUCUUGGAAAAACAGAGGAGUUUCAGAAUCGAACUAAAGACUUUUGGUGUCAAAGCAACUGACCCCAUUGUUGUGUGUCGUUUGCUUCUUUUCCAGAUUGCUCUUCAACGACAGAUCUGGAUCUGUUUCGUAUCUAGGGUUUUAUCGUCUUCUAGCACAGAUCUUCAAAGUUGAUCUAAUGGCUUCAUCAACAAGGUCAAUCUACCUGCUGGAUUCAAGCGCAAAGUCACUAAUAAAUGAGUUUUAAGAAGGAUUGUUAAUAUGGCAGCCCACCGAAAUACAGUUAGACUUACAUAUUAAAAGAUCUAUCUAGGCGUCUUGCGGAACUUUAAGCCUGCGGGUAAUGGAAGAUGCUGGUAUGAGGUCUGAUUACUCUAUAUAUUUUUUCCAUAAAGCUCUACAUACUAGCUGAUGGUGGCACUAUUAUGUGUUUAUAAGUUAUAACUAUAUCUAUAUAUAUGAUAUCAGUGUUUUGUCUUUGUGAAUUUAACUGUUAAAGCCAUAUAGUUCAUGCCUAUUGAAGCUUGCUUUUUGCUCUGAGUUGGAUCAUGUUAACACAAAAUUGAUUUUUAUGUGUUCUAAGUGUUGGAAGUAAGAAGUGUUCAUAUGCAUUGCAAAAAUUUUCUGCCAUUCUUUGUUCUAUAAUGCAUAGAUCACAUGAUGCAGAGAUAUGAUCACAUCGCACGAGAAACAAGAAUUGAGAGAUACAAUAUGUUGGUCUUCCAAACCAUCAUGGACGCUCAUUACACUUCUCACAGGUUGCUUUGCAAGUGAAUAAAGAUCUUAGUGACCAAAUUGGAUUGAUAACCCAGUAUGUUGAUUAUAGGAAAUCAACGUGUGGAAUCGUCAAGCAAGAUAACAACAAUACCCAAGAAAAAGGAUUGAACUGGGGUGUAAUCUAUACAUGACACUGAUUAAUGGAUCUUGAAAGCAAGAAUUUUUAAAGAAGAGAUAUGAUCACAUCGCACGAGAAACAAGAAUUGAGAGAUACAAUAUGUUGGUCUUCCAAACCAUCAUGGACGCUCAUUACACUUCUCACAGGUUGCUUUGCAAGUGAAUAAAGAUCUUAGUGACCAAAUUGGAUUGAUAACCCAGUAUGUUGAUUAUAGGAAAUCAACGUGUGGAAUCGUCAAGCAAGAUAACAACAAUACCCAAGAAAAAGGAUUGAACUGGGGUGUAAUCUAUACAUGACACUGAUUAAUGGAUCUUGAAAGCAAGAAUUUUUAAAGAAGGUCAAAACAUGAUGGUGGACUAAACUAACUUUCGUCCAAUAAUGCGUUGUUAUCAAAGUAAAGUGUCUGUUCGCCCAUGCUCACAUAUUGGUGGCCAUAAUUAUGCUGGAAAUGUGAUCGAAACUCCUAAACUCCUGGGUCAUUGGCAAAGUACCUUACGUUGAUUUAUUUAUACUCAAUUUAAAAUGUAAAAUUGUUUAUACAAAAAAUAAGUUGUAAUUUGUAGAUUGCCUUCGGAGGUAAUUAUGAAUUGUUUAAUGUCUUUUCGAGUUGCGAUUAGAUUUAGUUUUCGUUAGGCGAACAGAGAUUCUAUUAGUAAUCAUUCAGUUGUAUGCUAUAUAUAUUGUAUGCUAUAUAUAUGAACAUGGGUAAAUGGACAAAGAAAUGUAAUAACCACCUGAAGCUAGAUAUAUUUGAAUCGUUGUUUAU
rnacentral:lncRNA from 1 species